UGGUUCAGUGUUGACUACUGGUGUCGUGUGAGUCAUACAAUGAAUACAUGUCUGGAACUCUGAGGCCCAU
rnacentral:snoRNA from 10 species